rnacentral:lncRNA from 1 species
AGAAAUUCUAAGCAAAGUUGACUUAAAGACUUCUCUUCUAAGCCUGAUCCAGAUCCACAGGAACUCGUUUCACAUUCUUUGUCAAUAUGAAGACAAUAGCACAAUUAUAGAUAUAAGGAAUUGUCAACAUAUUAAACAACAAUACAUCCAUUGAAUUGGCUUAGAUCUCCAAAUCGCAAUCUUGAUGGAUUAUUUUAUUAGUAGAGUAUGACCUACAUCACCAAAGUUCAUUUUCUAUAACCAAUAAAUAUGUGUGUAUGUCCAUGACCCUUGUUUUUUGACAUCGUUAUCUUAUCAAUUCCAUCAAUGUGAGUACAAAAACAACACACUCAUCAGCCUAUACAAUGAGUAGUAAAUGCUCUAUAAUUAAUGCUAUAUAAUUAAUAAGUAACCAAAAAUGAUUAAUUUUUAAGGUUAUGUGCUAACAGUCUAUUGGAGAUUAAACUCCACAUGUUACUGCACCUGACUUGAAGAAUCUCAAUCUUCCAAGAAAAUUCACAUACAAUCAUCAAUAGAGAUGUAUCUCAUUUGGUAGUACACAAAGCCUGCAUAUAACAAUAAAAUCCAUGAAAAUCCUUUCUUUAGAGAUCCUUUGUUUAAAUCUCAAGAUUUAUUCCCUUGAUGGGAGUCCUCAUUUGAAAUUCAAGUAAUAAAUAUUAGAAGUCGAGUAAAAAAAUAUAGAAUAUUAAGAAAAAAUUAGUAACAGUCUUUUUCAGCUUGUUUAGUACAGAAAAUUCAUUAGUUAACUUUUAAAACAUGAUUUCUUUACAACUUUGAUUUGUUUAGUCUAUUUCUGGUUAACAAUCUCAUUUAUUGCAGCGAAUGGUGCAAACGUUAUAGUGAAGGGUGUAAAACAAAAAAUCUAGGUUUAGUUUACCAUAACCUUUAUCACGACACAGUCAGAUGCUGCAAUACAAUAAAUUAUUGGACUAAUAUAAUAAUAAUGAGAAAGAAAUCUUGUGAGAACUCAAAUAAAAAAUGUAAGUCCAUUAGAAAGUCAUGAGAAGAGCUAAAAUUACCUCUUGAAGAGUAGUGCGGAUUCAGCAAGAGGAAGAAUGCAAGACAUUGCUAUCAUCAUUAUAAAAUCAAGGGGAAGAGCUCCCAUCUUUCUGAUGUUUGAAAUCAAAUUGAAUGAGUUUCCAAAGUGAGAGAGUCAAAGUCAGAAACUAAUGUAAUUAAAUUUAAAUUUAAAAUCAACAAUAUUUGAAAACAACAAUAACAUUAUAAUUGUCACAUGAUGAGGAGAGAAGAAAGUGAGAAUGUAUAAUACCAUUGCAGCUAUAGCCUUAUACAACCAGCUCUUUGGUAUGUUUCUCCUUAAGCUUAGCGGAAAGUUGAGAAACUUCUUCCUCCAUUUGCUUCUUCUUAGCUCGCUGCUCCCUCCUUCAUUUCAAAUUCCUUUUUCUGCCAUUCAAUUGUUGAUUUAUUAACAUCUACUAAUAGAUAUUAAACAAAAAGUAACCCAAAAAUCAAAACAUGAAUCUCACACUUCAACCCACAAAACAACAAAUUUUGUUUUAAAAAAAGAUGUAACUCAUCAACAGUAGGGAAUUAAAAAAGGUACCUGCAAAUGUUUGGUGUUCCAUAUGUUUCAGCAGGGAAAAUUUCAUAGAACACAAGUAAAAGAAAGCAAAAAAUCAAUAGCUGAUCAAGGAGAGAGCAAAUACAUAAGCCAGUUUCCAAUAUAUAUAUCAAAAGAAUAGCAAAGAAGCCCUUAAGCAAUUAUUCUUGCUUCUAAUAGAAACAUAAACUCAAAAAGCAUGUAACUUCAAUUUUUCGCACAAACUUAAUUUCAAUCCUAAUUGCAAAGCUAUUAAUCCAUAAACCUAUCUCUGCUUAUAUUAACCAAGAUAGUGUCAAUCACUCCAAGGAAAAAAGAGGUUGGUACAUGAUGAGCUUUAUAAAAAUGUUUCUUAUCAUCCAUAGGUUCUAAACUGUAUUGAUAUGCUUUUAGAAAAACCUAAAGAUAUUUCAUGGUAGAUAGACAAAAUCAUCUCUAAAAAGGCAUCUUUAAUGGGUUCCCACCCAUUUGAUUGUCUAUUUAUGUCUAUCAUAUCAUAUUAAUCUAUUGUGUCACAAAG